UAGAAGUGGAAGUGUAGCGAUACAUGGAGCGGACUAGUACUAAUCGGUCGAGGACUUAACCAAG
rnacentral:rRNA from 1 species